rnacentral:rRNA from 1 species
GUAAUAGCUCACUGGUCGAGUCGGCCCGCGCGGAAGAUGUAACGGGGCUAAACCAUGCACCGAAGCUGCGGCAGCGACACAAAGUGUUGUUGGGUAGGGGAGCGUUCUGUAAGCCUGCGAAGGUGUACUGUGAGGUAUGCUGGAGGUAUCAGAAGUGCGAAUGCUGACAUAAGUAACGAUAAUGCGGGUGAAAAACCCGCACGCCGGAAGACCAAGGGUUCCUGUCCAACGUUAAUCGGGGCAGGGUGAGUCGACCCCUAAGGCGAGGCUGAAAAGCGUAGUCGAUGGGAAACGGGUUAAUAUUCCCGUACUGGUGGUAACUGCGAUGGGGGAACGGAGAAGGCUAGGUUGUCCGGGCGACGGUCGUCCCGGUUCAAGCAGGUAGGCAGAGUGAUUAGGCAAAUCCGGUCACUUAAUGCUGAGAUGUGAUGACGAACCACCAAGGUGGUGAAGCAAUUGAUGCCCCGCUUCCAGGAAAAGCCUCUAAGCUUCAGGUUACCAACAAUCGUACCCCAAACCGACACAGGUGGUCAGGUAGAGAAUACUCAGGCGCUUGAGAGAACUCGGGUGAAGGAACUAGGCAAAAUGGUGCCGUAACUUCGGGAGAAGGCACGCUGGCGGUAGGUAAAGUCCCUCGCGGACGGCGCUGAAGCCAGUCGAAGAUACCAGCUGGCUGCAACUGUUUAUUAAAAACACAGCACUGUGCAAACACGAAAGUGGACGUAUACGGUGUGACGCCUGCCCGGUGCUGGAAGGUUAAUUGAUGGGGUUAGCG